UGGCUUUAACUCACCUGGAAAGCUUCAGAUACAUCUGGGAUGAGGACCGUAGAUGAAGACAGAGCAGUGUAAUGACUGGAAUCAGCAAUAUCCGCCAGGACAGCGCACCCACUUCAGCAUCUCCUUACCCCAACUAUGCUGUGACUGGUCAAAAAACAACCUGUAGCAGGAGAUGGCCCAGUGGAACCUCCAUUCCCUGGCUAAGACUCCUGAAUACCAAUGACAACGCACAUCGAGAUUGUGUUGCAAUUAUGGGGGAAGAUCUGUAUUUAUAGCGUGGAAAGGAUUUGCACAGGAGCCACAGUCCUCUCUCUGCCAGGCAUGACAUUUCCAUUCUGCACUAAUGUUGUGGAACCUUGUGGUAAGUAAAACAGGCACAAAGUAUUUACCAGUGAUGUAAAGACAAAAGGUGUCUUCUCUCGUGCUUCAAAUCUGAUAGCAGAUGCUAAAACCCUCUCUGUUUCUAAUGUGUUGGUGGUUAGAAGUUGAAAGCCUAAUUCACACUUACUGACAUGAAUGCAGGAGCUGGGGCUUCAAGAGAAAUAGCAGCUAUCCUUGAUUGCACCAGAAGAAAUGCAGUACUGGUAAUGUUUGCUGUGGAAUUCCAAUUACACUUUAGCUGUCGUUUGCUAUCCUGUAUGUUGUAUCAGAGCAUCUUUCCUGUAUCUGUCCUCAGAACAUCCCUGUGAAAAGCUGCUGACCUAUUUUCCCAGGGGGGACUAUUAAUAGAGAUUGGCAAAAGAAGUUCAUAACUUUUCCAAUAUCAACCCCGCAUCGAUUCACUGCUGACAAAGGUUACACUGGGAAAUUGGCUUUCCCCAGCACGGAUACAACGGGAUUGGAGGCAUUCAGUCUUACCAGAGAUGCUCUUUUUGUA